rnacentral:snoRNA from 1 species
AUGUAUGAAGAUAUGCACUGGGCUCUGAGCAGCAAACAUUGUUGCCUUAUGAUGGAGAUGCAUUUGCCUAGAAAGCAUUGGCUGAUGU